GGAAAAGUAAGCUAAAAUAAGCUAAUGGGUUCAUACCCCGUAAAUAGAGUUAACCCUCUCUUCUCUA
rnacentral:tRNA from 1 species